GAUGAACGCUGGCGGCGUGCCUAAUACAUGCAAGUCGAGCGAAGCGGGGACGGGUGAGUAACUAGUGGCUAACCUCCUAUAAGUCUGGGAUAAUUACGGGAAACAGGAGCUAAACCGGAUCCUUAUUGCUGGAUCCGCGUUGCAUUAGCUAGUUGGUAAGGUAACGGCUUACCAAGGCAACGAUGCAUAGCUGACCUGAGAGGGUGAUCGGCCACACUGGAACUGAGACACGGUCCAGACUCCUACGGGAGGCAGCAGUAGGGAAUCUUCCGCAAUGGGCGAAAGCCUGACGGAGCAACGCCGCGUGAGUGAAGAAGGUCUUCGGAUCGUAAAGCUCUGUUAUUAGGGAAGCGGUACCUAAUGAGAAAGCAAUGGCUAACUACCUGCCAGCAGCCGCGGUAAUAC
rnacentral:rRNA from 1 species